rnacentral:rRNA from 1 species
AAGUAGCAUAUACUUAGUGGCAGACGGGUGAGUAACAUGUAGGUAUCUACCCUUUGGCCUGGAAUAACACGAGGAAACUUGUGCUAAUACCGGAUAAGUCUUUACAGAGAAAGCUUUAUGCACCAUUGGAUGAGCCGGCACUAGAUUAGUUUGUUGGUGGGGUAAUGGCCUACCAAGACUGUGAUCUAUAGCUGAUUUGAGAGGAUGAUCAGCCACAUUGGGACUGUGACACGGCCCAAACUCCUACGGGAGGCAGCAGUGGGGAAUCUUGCACAAUGGAGGAAACUCUGAUGCAGCGAUGCCGCGUGAGUGAAGAAGGCCUUUGGGUUGUAAAGCUCUUUCGUCGGGGAAGAAAAUGACUGUACCCGAAUAAGAAGGUCCGGCUAACUUCGUGCCAGCAGCCGCGGUAAUACGAAGGGACCUAGCGUAGUUCGGAUUUACUGGGCUUAAAGAGUUCGUAGGUGGUUGAAAAAGUUGGUGGUGAAAUCCCAGAGCUUAACUCUGGAACUGCCAUCAAAACUUUUCAGCUAGAGUAUGAUAGAGGAAAGCAGAAUUUCUAGUGUAGAGGUGAAAUUCGUAGAUAUUAGAAAGAAUACCAAUUGCGAAGGCAGCUUUCUGGAUCAUUACUGACACUGAGGAACGAAAGCAUGGGUAGCGAAGAGGAUUAGAUACCCUCGUAGUCCAUGCCGUAAACGAUGUGUGUUAGACGUUGGAAAUUUAUUUUCAGUGUCGCAGCGAAAGCGAUAAACACACCGCGUGGGG